rnacentral:misc_RNA from 1 species
GAUGAAGAACGUAGCGAAAUGCGAUAAGUAAUGUGAAUUGCAGAAUUCAGUGAAUCAUCGAAUCUUUGAACGCACAUUGCGCCCCCUGGUAUUCCGGGGGCAUGCCUGUCCGAGCGUCAUUGCUGCCCUCAAGCCCGGCUUGUGUGUUGGGUCUCGUCCCCCUUCCCGGGGGGACGGGCCCGAAAGGCAGCGGCGGCACCGCGUCCGGUCCUCGAGCGUAUGGGGCUUUGUCACCCGCUCUGUAGGCCCGGCCGGCGCUUGCCGAUCAACCAAAACUUUUUUCCAGGUUGACCUCGGAUCAGGUAGGGAUACCCGCUGAACUUAAGCAUAUCAAUAAGCGGAGGA